GACGAACGCUGGCGGCGUGCUUAACACAUGCAAGUCGAACGGUGAACCUCUUCGGAGGGGAUCAGUGGCGAACGGGUGAGUAACACGUGGGCAACCUGCCCCCGGCUCUGGGAUAACUCCAAGAAAUUGGGGCUAAUACCGGAUGUUCACCGCUUCCCGCAUGGGUGGUGGUGGAAAGGGUUUCCGGCUGGGGAUGGGCCCGCGGCCUAUCAGCUUGUUGGUGGGGUAGUGGCCUACCAAGGCGACGACGGGUAGCCGGCCUGAGAGGGUGACCGGCCACACUGGGACUGAGACACGGCCCAGACUCCUACGGGAGGCAGCAGUGGGGAAUAUUGCGCAAUGGGCGGAAGCCUGACGCAGCGACGCCGCGUGGGGGAUGACGGCCUUCGGGUUGUAAACCUCUUUCAGCAGGGACGAAGCGCAAGUGACGGUACCUGCAGAAGAAACACCGGCCAACUACGU
rnacentral:rRNA from 1 species